rnacentral:rRNA from 1 species
CACGGAGGUUGCGAGCGUUGUCCGGAAUUACUAGGCGUAAAGGGCAGGCAGGCGGAUCCAUAAGUUUAUCGUUUAAGGCGUCGGCUUAACCGGCGUAGGGCGGUAGAUACUGUGGAUCUGGAAUGCGGUUGGGGAAGACAGAAUUCCUGGUGUAGCGGUGGAAUGCGCAGAGAUCAGGAGGAAUACCGAAGGCGAAGGCAGUCUUCCAAGCCGUUAUUGACGCUCAACUGCGAAGGUGUGGGUAUCAAACAGGAUUAGAUACCCUUGUAGUCCCU